GUGCUCGUUUCGGCAGCAUGUAUACUAAAAUUGGAAUAUGAUACGGAGAAGCUUACCCCUGCACAAGGAUGACACACAAAUUUGUGAGGCGUUCUGUAUUUUU